AUUGUUUGAAAAUUAAAAGGUGAAAGCAGUUACUGUCUGCUGCUAUUGUUUCCACUACAGAUACAAGAAAAAGUCUCUUCACACUUUCUGUCUGUCUGAUUGUAGCAGCCUGAGAUUGAAUAGAGGAAUACAGGG
ensembl:snoRNA